rnacentral:rRNA from 1 species
GAUGAACGCUGGCGGCGUGCCUAACACAUGCAAGUCGAGCGGCAGCGCGGGGUGCUUGCACCCUGUCGGCGAGCGGCGGACGGCUGAGUAGCGCGUGGGAACGUGCCCCAAAGUGAGGAAUAACUGCCCGAAAGGGUAGCUAAUACCGCAUAUUAUCUUCGGAUCAAAGGAUUUAUCCGCUUUGGGAGCGGCUCGCGUCGGAUUAGGUAGUUGGUGAGGUAAUGGCUCACCAAGCGGACGAUCCGUAGCUGGUCUGAGAGGAUGACCAGCCAGACUGGAACUGGGACACGGUCCAGACUCCUACGGGAGGCAGCAGUGAGGAAUCUUCCAAAAGGGGCGAAAGCCUGAUGGAGCAACGCCGCGUGCAGGACGAAGGCCUUCGGGUUGUAAACUGCUUUUAUAAGUGAGGAAUAUGACGGUAACUUAUGAAUAAGGAUCGGCUAACUACGUG